CUUGCUUUCUCCGCCGGCGACCGGCGCACGGGUGAGUAACACGUAUGCAACCUGCCCCUGUCAGGGGGACAACCCGCCGAAAGGCGGGCUAAACCCGCGUACAUGCCACCGGGGCAUCCCGGAGGCAGGAAAGGCUUCGGCCGGACAGGGAUGGGCAUGCGGCGCAUUAGGCAGUAGGCGGGGUAACGGCCCACCUAACCAACGAUGCGUAGGGGUUCUGAGAGGAAGGUCCCCCACACUGGUACUGAGACACGGACCAGACUCCUACGGGAGGCAGCAG
rnacentral:rRNA from 1 species